rnacentral:precursor_RNA from 15 species
GUGCGAAAAUAGCAAAACAUAAACACUUGCAGGACGGGGAGCGUGACAAUAUAUAUAUUUUAUAAACAUAUAUUGCACACCUCCCGGCCUAUAAGUGUAAAUGUUCCUACAGGUAAAACUUC